rnacentral:rRNA from 1 species
UACGUAGGGGGCAAGCGUUGUCCGGAAUUAUUGGGCGUAAAGCGCGCGCAGGCAGCUGUUUAAGUCUGGUGUAUAAACCUGGGGCUCAACUCCGGGUCGCACUGGAAACUGGAUAGCUUGAGUGCAGAAGAGGAGAGUGGAAUUCCACGUGUAGCGGGGAAAUGCGUAGAUAUGUGGAGGAACACCAGUGGAGAAGGCGACUCUCUGGGCUGUAACUGACGCUGAGGCGCGAAAGCGUGGGGAGCAAACAGG